GACGAACGCUGGCGGCGUGCUUAACACAUGCAAGUCGAACGGAAAGGCCCUGCUUUUGUGGGGUGCUCGAGUGGCGAACGGGUGAGUAACACGUGAGUAACCUGCCCUUGACUUUGGGAUAACUUCAGGAAACUGGGGCUAAUACCGGAUAGGAGCUCCUGCUGCAUGGUGGGGGUUGGAAAGUUUCGGCGGUUGGGGAUGGACUCGCGGCUUAUCAGCUUGUUGGUGGGGUAGUGGCUUACCAAGGCUUUGACGGGUAGCCGGCCUGAGAGGGUUACCGGCCACAUUGGGCCUGAGAUACGGCCCAGACUCCUACGGGAGGCAGCAGUGGGGAAUAUUGCACAAUGGGCGGAAGCCUGAUGCAGCAACGCCGCGUGCGGGAUGACGGCCUUCGGGUUGUAAACCGCUUUCGCCUGUGACGAAGCGUGAGUGACGGUAAUGGGUAAAGAAGCACCGGCUAACUACGUG
rnacentral:rRNA from 1 species